UCCGGACCGAACCGAUCCGGAUUAAGGGGCCGGAGGCGGGUCCUGGGCACCAGCGGUUCCGACCCACCCCGGCCCUCCGCGCCGCACCCGAGUGGCCCCCAGCCGAGCGGGCCCCCACCUCCUGGCCCGGCCUGGGCCCUUCUGCGCCUCCCUUGGCCUUUGUCCAGCGCCAGGAGGCCGGUCCCGCGCCCGCGUCGGGCGCCUGGCUCUGUACGCGAGCCCGGGGAUCUGCGGCCUUCGUGCCCCCCCUCCCCCGCCCGCCCUUUCGUGGAGCCCGGCGCAGGCGGCUGCUGCCCGGGCGGGGGGUUGCGGCGCUCAGGGGAGGCCCCGGCUCCGCCCCGGGCCUGCCCAGGGGGAGAGCGGAGCGGCCCGCAGCCGGGUCGGGUCGGGGCCCCUCCCGGGAGGAGCGUGGAGCGGCGGCGGCGGCAGAAAUAAUGGAAGAAUUGCAUAGCCUGGACCCACGACGGCAGGAAUUAUUAGAGGCCAGGUUUACUGGAGUAGGUGUUAGUAAGUUUGCUGGGGGAAGCGGGCCAGGAACCAGCCCUGGCAGAAGUGUUCCACCAGUUGCACGAUCCUCACCGCAACAUUCCUUAUCCAAUCCCUUACCGUGACGAGUAGCACAGCCCCUCUAUGGUUUAGAUGGCAGUGCUGCAAAGGAGGCAACAGAGGAGCAGUCUGCUCUGCCAAUCCUCACGUCAGUGAUGCUAGCAAAACCUCGGCUUGACACAGAGCAGCUGGCGUAAAGGAGAGCUGGCCUCUGCUUCACUUUUGUUUCAGCCAACUGUGAUUUGAGACGGCAGAUUGAUGAACAGCAAAAGAUGCUAGAGAAAUACAAGGAACAAUUAAAUAGAUGUGUGACAAUGAGCAAGAAACUCCUUAUAGAAAAGAUGAUGAUUAUUCCCCACCUUCUAAGAGACAAAGACCAACGAGCCACCACAGCCACCGGUCCCAGAACCCGCCAAUGCUGGGGAACGGAAAAUGAGGGAGUUCAACUCUGGCCCUCACAAUCCAGUGGAGGAGACGAAACUCAGCUGCCUCUGUCCCUCUGGGCACGCCUCAUGCCAGGUGCAUCUGUGGACAGGGGCCAUGCUCCUGGGCUUCCAAAGUUGGAGAAAGCUGCCAGGCUCAGGUCUGAAGGCCAGAAUUCUACAGUAAGUCCUACUCAGUCAAGGUGGGAGCAGGGUCAGUGGCUUCCGAGGCUCUGCGGGAGAAUCCGUUUCCUGGCCGUGGAGGUGGCCUGCACUCCUCAGCUUGUGCUGCCCGUCUCGAAUGACUGGAGUUUCCUGCUUCUGUCACUACACCUCCCACCCUCUCCAUCACCUGCUCUGCUCUUAUAAGGAUCCGAAGAAAUGGAAUAAUCGUAUCGCUGAUCUACGUAAACAAAUUGAAGAAUUGUCUGAAAGAAAAUAUGUUAUGUCUAAACUGGAAAAGUCCUGUAAUCUUAUGUUCAUGGGCUUUUACACAAUGGAGUUACUGUUCAUCAUGGGGGUACCGUGGACAAGCCCAGAGCUGCCGGCGAGUCAUGCCAUCCUUACACGUUUCUCCUUGGAAGACGUGAACUUAUGAAUUCAACAGGUGAAGAUUUACAACUUGAUAAAUCAGCUUCAUGAGGUACGUCUUCAGUCUUAAGUCAGAUUAGAAGAUUAUGUGAAGUAAUUAACACUUA
rnacentral:lncRNA from 1 species